GCUUUCUGGUGAUCAAGCUGUGUGUAGAUACUGAGACAUCACAACGCAUGGCUGCACAUGGAGAAGGAACCAGGCUGAUCUUGAAAAAAUCUUCUAAGGAAUCAAAGGAAUCCCCUAAGAAAGGACAAAAUCUAGUGAUCACUGUGUCCAUCUCUGCUUCCCUCAAACUGGUCAUCAUAUGUGUCAUGUUUAUCUACAUAAAGACAACAGGACCAUGAGCAGAUGUAUGGAGGGCAUCAGCACCACAAGACUUUAAGAGCUUUCAGGCAUGCAGCCAAGAUGGAGAUAUGUCGCCACUGUAUAUAUGAGGGCAUCAGUUCUAGUCUGUAAACCUCAACAAUAUAUAUUUGA